UUUUAUGGAGAGUUUGAUCCUGGCUCAGAGUGAACGCUGGCGGCGUGCCUAAUACAUGCAAGUCGAACGAUGAAGCUUCUAGCUUGCUAGAGUGCUGAUUAGUGGCGCACGGGUGAGUAACGCAUAGGUUAUGUGCCUCUUAGUUUGGGAUAGCCAUUGGAAACGAUGAUUAAUACCAGAUACUCCCUACGGGGGAAAGAUUUAUCGCUAAGAGAUCAGCCUAUGUCCUAUCAGCUUGUUGGUAAGGUAAUGGCUUACCAAGGCUAUGACGGGUAUCCGGCCUGAGAGGGUGAACGGACACACUGGAACUGAGACACGGUCCAGACUCCUACGGGAGGCAGCAGUAGGGAAUAUUGCUCAAUGGGGGAAACCCUGAAGCAGCAACGCCGCGUGGAGGAUGAAGGUUUUAGGAUUGUAAACUCCUUUUGUUAGAGAAGAUAAUGACGGUAUCUAACGAAUAAGCACCGGCUAACUCCGUGCCAGCAGCCGCGGUAAUACGGAGGGUGCAAGCGUUACUCGGAAUCACUGGGCGUAAAGAGCGCGUAGGCGGGAUAGUCAGUCAGGUGUGAAAUCCUAUGGCUUAACCAUAGAACUGCAUUUGAAACUACUAUUCUAGAGUGUGGGAGAGGUAGGUGGAAUUCUUGGUGUAGGGGUAAAAUCCGUAGAGAUCAAGAGGAAUACUCAUUGCGAAGGCGACCUGCUGGAACAUUACUGACGCUGAUUGCGCGAAAGCGUGGGGAGCAAACAGGAUUAGAUACCCUGGUAGUCCACGCCCUAAACGAUGGAUGCUAGUUGUUGGAGGGCUUAGUCUCUCCAGUAAUGCAGCUAACGCAUUAAGCAUCCCGCCUGGGGAGUACGGUCGCAAGAUUAAAACUCAAAGGAAUAGACGGGGACCCGCACAAGCGGUGGAGCAUGUGGUUUAAUUCGAAGAUACACGAAGAACCUUACCUAGGCUUGACAUUGAGAGAAUCCGCUAGAAAUAGUGGAGUGUCUAGCUUGCUAGACCUUGAAAACAGGUGCUGCACGGCUGUCGUCAGCUCGUGUCGUGAGAUGUUGGGUUAAGUCCCGCAACGAGCGCAACCCCCUUUCUUAGUUGCUAACAGGUCAUGCUGAGAACUCUAAGGAUACUGCCUCCGUAAGGAGGAGGAAGGUGGGGACGACGUCAAGUCAUCAUGGCCCUUACGCCUAGGGCUACACACGUGCUACAAUGGGGUGCACAAAGAGAAGCAAUACUGCGAAGUGGAGCCAAUCUUCAAAACGCCUCUCAGUUCGGAUUGUAGGCUGCAACUCGCCUGCAUGAAGCUGGAAUCGCUAGUAAUCGCAAAUCAGCCAUGUUGCGGUGAAUACGUUCCCGGGUCUUGUACUCACCGCCCGUCACACCAUGGGAGUUGUGUUUGCCUUAAGUCAGGAUGCUAAAUUGGCUACUGCCCACGGCACACACAGCGACUGGGGUGAAGUCGUAACAAGGUAACCGUAGGUGAACCUGCGGUUGGAUCACCUCCUUUCUAGA
rnacentral:rRNA from 1 species